rnacentral:rRNA from 1 species
CAGCUUGCUGGGUGGAUUAGUGGCGAACGGGUGAGUAACACGUGAGUAACCUGCCCUUAACUCUGGGAUAAGCCUGGGAAACUGGGUCUAAUACCGGAUAGGAGCGUCCACCGCAUGGUGGGUGUUGGAAAGAUUUAUCGGUUUUGGAUGGACUCGCGGCCUAUCAGCUUGUUGGUGAGGUAAUGGCUCACCAAGGCGACGACGGGUAGCCGGCCUGAGAGGGUGACCGGCCACACUGGGACUGAGACACGGCCCAGACUCCUACGGGAGGCAGCAGUGGGGAAUAUUGCACAAUGGGCGCAAGCCUGAUGCAGCGACGCCGCGUGAGGGAUGACGGCCUUCGGGUUGUAAACCUCUUUCAGUAGGGAAGAAGCGAAAGUGACGGUACCUGCAGAAGAAGCACCGGCUAACUACGUGCCAGCAGCCGCGGUAAUACGUAGGGUGCGAGCGUUAUCCGGAAUUAUUGGGCGUAAAGAGCUCGUAGGCGGUUUGUCGCGUCUGUCGUGAAAGUCCGGGGCUUAACCCCGGAUCUGCGGUGGGUACGGGCAGACUAGAGUGCAGUAGGGGAGACUGGAAUUCCUGGUGUAGCGGUGGAAUGCGCAGAUAUCAGGAGGAACACCGAUGGCGAAGGCAGGUCUCUGGGCUGUAACUGACGCUGAGGAGCGAAAGCAUGGGGAGCGAACAGGAUUAGAUACCCUGGUAGUCCAUGCCGUAAACGUUGGGCACUAGGUGUGGGGACCAUUCCACGGUUUCCGCGCCGCAGCUAACGCAUUAAGUGCCCCGCCUGGGGAGUACGGCCGCAAGGCUAAAACUCAAAGGAAUUGACGGGGGCCCGCACAAAGCGGCGGAGCAUGCGGAUUAAUUCGAUGCAACGCGAAGAACCUUACCAAGGCUUGACAUGUUCUCGAUCGCCGUAGAGAUACGGUUUCCCCUUUGGGGCGGGUUCACAGGUGGUGCAUGGUUGUCGUCAGCUCGUGUCGUGAGAUGUUGGGUUAAGUCCCGCAACGAGCGCAACCCUCGUUCCAUGUUGCCAGCACGUAAUGGUGGGGACUCAUGGGAGACUGCCGGGGUCAACUCGGAGGAAGGUGAGGACGACGUCAAAUCAUCAUGCCCCUUAUGUCUUGGGCUUCACGCAUGCUACAAUGGCCGGUACAAUGGGUUGCGAUACUGUGAGGUGGAGCUAAUCCCAAAAAGCCGGUCUCAGUUCGGAUUGGGGUCUGCAACUCGACCCCAUGAAGUCGGAGUCGCUAGUAAUCGCAGAUCAGCAACGCUGCGGUGAAUACGUUCCCGGGCCUUGUACACACCGCCCGUCAAGUCACGAAAGUUGGUAACACCCGAAGCCGGUGGCC